UAGGGAAUUUUCCACAAUGGGGGCAACCCUGAUGGAGCAACGCCGCGUGCAGGAUGAAGGCUUUCGGGUCGUAAACUGCUUUUAUGUACGACGAUUAUGACGGUAAUACAUGAAUAAGGAUCGGCUAACUCCGUGCCAGCAGCCGCGGUCAUACGGAGGAUCCAAGCGUUAUCCGGAAUUACUGGGCGUAAAGAGUUGCGUAGGUGGCAGAGUAAGUUAGUAGUGAAAUCGUGUGGCUCAACCAUACAUCCAUUACUAAAACUGCUCAGCUAGAGUAUGGAAGAGGUAGCUGGAAUUUCUAGUGUAGGAGUGAAAUCCGUAGAUAUUAGAAGGAACACCGAUGGCGUAGGCAGGCUACUGGUCCAUUACUGACACUAAGGCACGAAAGCGUGGGGAGCAAACGGGAUUAGAUACCCGCGUAGUCC
rnacentral:rRNA from 1 species